UUUCGGCUGGUCGUGUAGGUGGACUUCAAACCGA
rnacentral:tRNA from 1 species